GUAGGUCUCCUGACUGGGUCCUAUUACAUCUGCCCAUUUUGCAAAUCAGAAUUUGUUGAUUAGAAGUUCUUUAACAAAUACUCUGUAGUUUAAAUAUCCUUAAGAGAGUCAAAUUCUACAAGUCUAUAAGAAAAUAUGCAAAGAAACAAUUUUGCACAUUUUGUGCUUUCUUGGCAAAAGAAUGGGAAAAGUCCCGUCAGCAGCCUGGGCUAUGCAGUGUGGAAAAGCUAAGCAGAUAUGCUGAAAGUGUAGCAGUGCGUUACGUUAAAAUACAUGUUACUGCCUUGGAUUACAUGCUUUUUCUGUGUUUAUUUUAUAUUUCCAUUUCUCAACAUAUCUAUAGUAAAUUCUUUGUGGCUUUGGCACACUGUUAGGGAGCAGUUCUUCCUUUCACUGAUCUGUAGAAUUGCUUCAGUUCUUUGACAAUGAGAAUUACUCAAGUAAAUCAGGAACUUCAGAAUUAAUGUACAUUUAACAUUUUUUUAAAGAAGUUGUACUACAUAGGCUCACUUGCCCUAGGAUUUUGAGGGCCUUUUUAAUAAAGCCUCUCUUGGAUAAUAUUGUCCUAAGUAGUCUUUCUGUUUGUCCCUGAAAUUUCCAGUUUUCCACUUCACUCUCAAAGUUCAGUUCAAGAGGUAAGGUUAUAACCUUGUUUGUUAUCUUUUCUCCUGACUUGUCAGUGGCUGGGGAGGCUCUUUUUCUUCUUGCUCUAUUAUUCUUCAUGGCUGAAAAGAAAGGAAGUUUUUACAACAUGCCCCUUUGCCCAUAAUAGGGAAUUUACCAGCAAAUGUAGAUCCUGAUCUUGCUGGGUAUCCCAGGUUCCACAGACAGGAUAGCCUUCUGACAAAGCACUCCUGCCAGGAGAGGCAUAGGGCUUUUGGCUUCUGAGUCUAUAAGGCCUGAACAUCAGCUCUGGAGCCCACGUGUGCCCUGGUCUCCCUCCACUUUGCAUUUUAUUCUGUAACUCUUUAGUCCUGUAAAUAACAAAUCUCAGGCUAAUUUUUACCUAAA